AUCUGGUGGUGAUGGCAUUUUCAUAUUAAUUCUUUGAAUCAUUCCCAUGCCUCGUUUACGGACUCAUCAUCAUUUGUUGAAAAGUGGUAAUCUUAUUCCACAACUU
rfam:Gossypium hirsutum cultivar TM-1 chromosome 5, whole genome shotgun sequence